UGGGGAAUCUUGCACAAUGGGGGAAACCCUGAUGCAGCGACGCCGCGUGAACGAUGAAGCCCUUCGGGGUGUAAAGUUCUUUCGACGGGAACGAUAAUGACGGUACCCGGAGAAGAAGCUGCGGCUAACUACGUGCCAGCAGCCGCGGUAAUACGUAGGCAGCGAGCGUUGUUCGGAGUUACUGGGCGUAAAGAGUGCGUAGGCGGUUGAUCAAGUUUGGUGUGAAAUCUCCCGGCUCAACUGGGAGGGUGCGCCGAAAACUGGUCGACUUCGAGUAUGGGAGAGGAAAGCGGAAUUCCUGGUGUAGCGGUGAAAUGCGUAGAUAUCAGGAGGAACACCUGUGGUGUAGACAGCUUUCUGGACCAAAACUGACGCUGAGGCACGAAAGCGUGGGGAGCAAACA
rnacentral:rRNA from 1 species